UACGGAGGGGGCUAGCGUUGUUCGGAAUUAUUGGGCGUAAAGCGCGCGCAGGCGGUCCUUUAAGUCUGAUGUGAAAGCCCACGGCUCAACCGUGGAGGGUCAUUGGAAACUGGGGGACUUGAGUGCAGAAAAGGAAAGCGGAAUUCCACGUGUAGCGGUGAAAUGCGUAGAGAUGUGGAGGAACACCAGUGGCGAAGGCGGCUCUCUGGUCUGUAACUGACGCUGAGGCGCGAAAGCGUGGGGAGCAAACAGG
rnacentral:rRNA from 1 species